GACGAACGCUGGCGGCGUGCUUAACACAUGCAAGUCGAACGGAAAGGCCCUGUUUUUGUGGGUUGCUCGAGUGGCGAACGGGUGAGUAACACGUGAGUAACCUGCCCUUGACUUUGUGAUAACUUCAGGAAACUUGGGCUAAUACCGGAUAGGAGCUCCUGCUGCAUGGUGGGGGUUGGAUAGUUUCGGCGGUUGGGGAUGGACUCGCGGGUUAUCAGCUUUUUGGUGGGGUAGUGGCUUACCAAGGCUUUGACGGGUAGCCGGCAUGAGAGGGUGACCGGCCACAUUGGGACUGAGAGACGGCCCAGACUGCUACGGGAGGCAGCAGUGGGGAAUAUUGCACAAUGGGCGGAAGCCUGAUGCAGCAAAGCCGCGUGAGGGAUGACGGCCUUCGGGUUGUAAAACGCUUUGGCAUGUGACGAAGAGUGAGGGAAGGUAAUGGGUAAAGAAGCACCGGCUAACUACGUG
rnacentral:rRNA from 1 species